rnacentral:rRNA from 1 species
GACGAACGCUGGCGGCGUGCUUAACACAUGCAAGUCGAACGGAAAGGCCCUGCUUUUGUGGGGUGCUCGCGUGGCGAACGGGUGAGUAACACGUGAGUAACCUGCCCUUGACUUUGGGACAACUUCAGGAAACUGGGGCUACUACCGGAUAGGAGCUCCUGCUGCAUGGUGGGGGUUGGACAGUUUCGGCGGUUGGGGAUGGACUCGCGGCUUAUCAGCUUGUUGGUGGGGUAGUGGCUUACCAAGGCUUUGACGGGUAGCCGGCCUGAGAGGGUGACCGGCCACAUUGGGACUGAGAGACGGCCCAGACUCCUACGGGAGGCAGCAGUGGGGAAUAUUGCACAAUGGGCGGAAGCCUGAUGCAGCAACGCCGCGUGCGGGAUGACGGCCUUCGGGUGGUAAACCGCUUUCGCCUGUGACGAAGCGUGAGUGACGGUAAUGGGUAAAGAAGCACCGGCUAACUACGUG